GACGAACGCUGGCGGCGUGCCUAAUACAUGCAAGUAGAACGCUGAAGAGAGGAGCUUGCUCUUCUUGGAUGAGUUGCGAACGGGUGAGUAACGCGUAGGUAACCUGCCUGGUAGCGGGGGAUAACUAUUGGAAACGAUAGCUAAUACCGCAUGAUAUUAAUUGUCGCAUGAUAAUUAAUUGAAAGAUGCAAUUGCAUCACUACCAGAUGGACCUGCGUUGUAUUAGCUAGUUGGUGAGGUAACGGCUCACCAAGGCGACGAUACAUAGCCGACCUGAGAGGGUGAUCGGCCACACUGGGACUGAGACACGGCCCAGACUCCUACGGGAGGCAGCAGUAGGGAAUCUUCGGCAAUGGGGGGAAACCCUGACCGAGCA
rnacentral:rRNA from 1 species